rnacentral:rRNA from 1 species
AAUUCGAUUCCCUUAGUAGCGGCGAGCGAAACGGGAAGAGCCCAAACCAACAAGCUUGCUUGUUGGGGUUGUAGGACACUCUAUACGGAGUUACAAAGGACGACAUUAGACGAAUCAUCUGGAAAGAUGAAUCAAAGAAGGUAAUAAUCCUGUAGUCGAAAAUGUUGUCUCUCUUGAGUGGAUCCUGAGUACGACGGAGCACGUGAAAUUCCGUCGGAAUCUGGGAGGACCAUCUCCUAAGGCUAAAUACUCUCUAGUGACCGAUAGUGAACCAGUACCGUGAGGGAAAGGUGAAAAGCACCCCGGAAGGGGAGUGAAAUAGAACCUGAAACCGUGUGCUUACAAGUAGUCAGAGCCCGUUAAUGGGUGAUGGCGUGCCUUUUGUAGAAUGAACCGGCGAGUUACGAUUUGAUGCAAGGUUAAGCAGUAAAUGUGGAGCCGUAGCGAAAGCGAGUCUGAAUAGGGCGUUUAGUAUUUGGUCGUAGACCCGAAACCAGGUGAUCUACCCUUGGUCAGGUUGAAGUUCAGGUAACACUGAAUGGAGGACCGAACCGACUUACGUUGAAAAGUGAGCGGAUGAACUGAGGGUAGCGGAGAAAUUCCAAUCGAACCUGGAGAUAGCUGGUUCUCUCCGAAAUAGCUUUAGGGCUAGCCUCAAGUGAUGAUUAUUGGAGGUAGAGCACUGUUUGGACGAGGGGCCCCUCUCGGGUUACCGAAUUCAGACAAACUCCGAAUGCCAAUUAAUUUAACUUGGGAGUC